rnacentral:rRNA from 1 species
CCUACGGGGGGCAGCAGUGGGGAAUAUUGGACAAUGGGGGGAACCCUGAUCCAGCCAUGCCGCGUGUGUGAAGAAGGCCCUCGGGUUGUAAAGCACUUUCAGUGAGGAAGAACGCCUGGUGGUUAAUACCCAUCAGGAAAGACAUCACUCACAGAAGAAGCACCGGCUAACUCCGUGCCAGCAGCCGCGGGUAAUACGGAGGGUGCGAGCGUUAAUCGGAAUUACUGGGCGUAAAGCGCGCGUAGGUGGCUUGAUAAGCCGGUUGUGAAAGCCCCGGGCUCAACCUGGGAACGGCAUCCGGAACUGUCAAGCUAGAGUGCAGGAGAGGAAGGUAGAAUUCCCGGUUUAGCGGUGAAAUGCGUAGAGAUCGCGAGGAAUACCAGUGGCGAAGGCGGCCUUCUGGACUGACUCUGACACUGAGGUGCGAAAGCGUGGGUAGCAAACAGGAUUAGAUACCCCAGUAGUC